rnacentral:misc_RNA from 1 species
UAUGAAAACAAAUAUCACCGCAUUUUCUUUUAUUAACUCGCCGGAUCGGUCGAGCAAGGUUUAUCAUUGCCCACGUACUACCUAUAGUAACUUGGCGUCAAUUAUACAAAGUUAUUCGAUUUGUAAUUUAUUCCGCUAUUAAUGUGUUGAAGUCAAAGUUGCAAAAUUCGUGUUUAUUGGCACCGUAUAACAAUAAUUAGAUAUUAACUGGCUGUUUACUUUGAAGCCAAAUACAACCAAUCAUCGUUGUGACAUUGUGAUAAACAGGGAGAGCUGACUGCAUAUUUUUAUUGGAUUUAAUCACAUUGAUUUGUGCCAUAAACACUUGGCAAGUUGUUUCCCGAAUAUCAAUCACUCGCAGAUAAUCGCUGGUGCGUGUUGGUCAGUUAUUAGUACUCAUCAAUGAUAAUGAGCAGUGAAACAGAUGGCAUGGCGGACAAGAAGAAUCAGAUCAGUCUGGUGGACUUUGCAAUUUUGCAGUUUUUCUAUGCAUUUCAAAGUGUUUAUGACAGGAUCGUCUCGAUUUUAAACUGGAGUUACUGGAAACAACAGCCAGCUUUGGAAGCGCCCCCACAAAGCCCCACAAAUGAGAAACGCCAUUUUAUCCAACUAUACAAGACAGAGCCGCUGGAAGAAGGCGAACAACCGAUAUGCUUUAUAAAUGUAAUCGAAUUCGACAGUUCCUGUCCCGAAGAAGAGAUUAGGAGAAGAAAGCGAUCGUACGAUUUUUCAACUAACGAAAGUAUUUUAAAGUAUCAGCGCCAUAAAAGAAGUCGAAGCGAUAACGAACUACAACGGUUUUACUGCAGUAAUUUACGGUACUAAAUUACCUCGUGUAACUUUAACAACCUAAUGAAGACUGAAUCACUAUUUUGUUAGCAAUGGUGACAUGAAAGAUCUAAGAGGAUUUCCAAUAGUCGCUAAUUGUCUGUAGCUUGCGGAUUUAAUUUUAUACUUAAUUGCUAUAACGUACACAAACAUCACUAGAUCUCGAUAUAUUAACGAGUUUUAUACCCAGGUGAAUGUGAUAUUGAUCGGUGUUUAAUGUAGAGAGUUGGACACUUCUAGAAAUAAUUAAACUGAUAGAGGGAUAGAGGAUUUAUAUGUUAAUUAUUAAAAGUAUUAUACAUAGUAGUAAGGUAGUAAAUUAACGUCUAUCAAGCCCUUGAAAUAGUAACACUUGUAAAAAAUAGUGGCUUGUUUUAUUAAACCUGCAUUUUUAAAUACAAAAGCCGAGUGACAAUACUAAUUCGUAGAGCAAAUACAAGUCUUGUGGAUGGGGCGGACUGGAGAAGGCAAUUUAAUCAAAAACAACCUGGAUAGAAAUGUGUAUUACACCACCAAACUGUUACAAAAAAAAUAAAAUUUUAAAUUACCUUUAAUUUAGUUGAAACCAGCUUUACUUAAAAUAAUUGAUAUACCGAUAUUACUUGAAAAUUACAGUUGACUUACAAAACGGCAAUAAAAAAAAGUUUCUCAUACUUCUCUAGGCACCAAGGGCAAACACAUGUUGUAAUAGGCAGUUUUAUUCCAGAAUUCAACGCCUUUCCAACCGCACCAGCCUUUACCUUGAAUAAUGUUCAAAUCCUCACCUCCAGUAUAAUGAGGAUCUAGAAUGAGGAACUUCAAGUUCCCAGUUUGUUGAUUAUAAUCAACGCCUAGAAUUGUAUGCGCCAGUACACCUCCACCUUAAACAACAAAUGAAACAGUUAAUAAAACUUUGUUCUCGCA